rnacentral:rRNA from 1 species
AGCAGCCGCGGUAAUUCCAGCUCCAAUAGCGUAUAUUAAAGUUGUUGCAGUUAAAAAGCUCGUAGUUGAACUUCGGGGUUUACCCAUUGGUCAGGCUUAAUUGUCUGUACUGGUGAGAUAAAUCUCUACCUUCUGAGGAACUUUCAUGUCAUUAAUUUGGUGUGAUUGGAAAUCAGGACUGUUACUUUGAAAAAUUAGAGUGUUUAAAGCAGGCUAACGUCUGAAUACAUUAGCAUGGAAUAAUGAAAUAGGACGGAUUGAUUCUAUUUCGUUGGUUUCUAGGAUCACCGUAAUGAUUAAUAGGGAUAGUUGGGGCAUUAGUAUUCAAUUGUCAGAGGUGAAAUUCUUGGAUUUAUUGAAGACUAACUACUGCGAAAGCAUUUGCCAAGGAUGUUUUCAUUAAUCAAGAACGAAAGUUAGGGGAUCGAAGACGAUCAGAUACCGUCGUAG